rnacentral:pre_miRNA from 1 species
GAGUCACCCCUAUGGAGCAGGACUUGCUUUAGUGGGGCUUGGUGCUCACUGAGUCUUCCCCUUGAGUGUGUCACU